AGUGAACGCUGGCGGCAGGCCUAACACAUGCAAGUCGAACGGCAGCACGGCAGUAGCAAUACUGUGGGUGGCGAGUGGCGGACGGGUGAGGAAUACAUCGGGAUCUACCCUGUUGUGGGGGAUAACGUAGGGAAACUUACGCUAAUACCGCAUAAGAACUGAGGUUGAAAGCGGCGGACCGCAAGGCGUCGCGCGAUUGGAUGAACCGAUGUCCGAUUAGCUAGUUGGCGGGGUAAAGGCCCACCAAGGCGACGAUCGGUAGCUGGUCUGAGGGGACGACCAGCCACACUGGAACUGAGACACGGUCCAGACUCCUACGGGAGGCAGCAGUGGGGAAUAUUGGACAAUGGGCGCAAGCCUGAUCCAGCCAUGCCGCGUGGGUGAAGAAGGCCUCGG
rnacentral:rRNA from 1 species